GCCCGAAUGCCCGAGUGGUGAGGGGCGCGUCUGCAACACGCGUGUACGCCGGUUCGAAUCCGGCUUCGGGUUCCA
rnacentral:tRNA from 1 species